UGCCAAACGGACUAUCUCCAGACUGUGGCCAUCAAAAUGAGGGUUUCCCUGGGCCCUGGCCCUGCACUCCCUGCCUCUUUGCCUCCUCCCGAGUCUUGUGUACAAGAGUACAGGGUCAUAGCCCAUCCCCACCACCCUCAGGUCCAGACCUGGGAACCAAGGAGGAAGACAGACACGGGAGUAGAUGGAAGUUAACACAGAGAUCCAAACUGGACAAUGUGCAGAGCGUGAGAGGCUUUGGAGCACUCAGCCUUCGCUGGGACAUCAUCAGAGCCCUCCUCCCUUCAAGGCUCAGGGACCUUUGUGGAAGAGGAGGCAGAAAGAUCGUAAGAGCCAGAGAGGAUGGAGGACCUCAAGGAAACAGUGUCCUCCAGGAGGGUCACAACCACUCAAAGGAUGCUGGAUCAUCUGUACUGUUUGAAUGCCAAAGCUAUGCAGAUGUCUUCAUGGAGAUUGCCAGAAGG